GACGAACGCUGGCGGCGUGCUUAACACAUGCAAGUCGAACGGAAAGGCCCUGCUUUUGUGGGGUGCUCGAGUGGCGAACGGGUGAGUAACACGUGAGUAACCUGCCCUUGACUUUGGGAUAACUUCAGGAAACUGGGGCUAAUACCGGAUAGGAGCUCCUGCUGCAUGGUGGGGGUUGGAAAGUUUCGGCGGUUGGGGAUGGACUCGCGGCUUAUCAGCUUGUUGGUGGGGUAGUGGCUUACCAAGGCUUUGACGGGUAGCCGGCCUGAGAGGGUGACCGGCCACAUUGGGACUGAGGUACGGCCCAGACUCCUACGGGAGGCAGCAGUGGGGAAGAUUGCACAAUGGGCGGAAGCCUGAUGCAGCAACGCCGCGUGCGGGAUGACGGCCUUCGGGUUGUAAACCGCUUUCGCCUGUGACGAAGCGUGAGUGACGGUAAUGGGUAAAGAAGCACCGGCUAACUACGUG
rnacentral:rRNA from 1 species